rfam:Schistosoma rodhaini strain Burundi genome assembly, scaffold: SROB_scaffold0002182
GCACUGCUGGGGAGUCCCAUAAUAAGACGAAACGGCCGUCUAGUGU